UAGCUCAGUUGGUAUAGUGCAAGACUCUUAACCUUGUGGUUGUGGGUUCAAGCCCCAU
rnacentral:tRNA from 1 species